UUUCUCUUUCAUAGGUAAACUCUGCAUUGCAAAUAUGACCUUUUGAUUCUGAAGUCUGGAUGAAGGAAACGAAUAUCUGCCACUGGCCAUCCAUUUCUUCGACUGAAGACGUUUUGGUUCUCUGCUUGUCACAAUCUGGAAACAACAAAAAAUAUUUUCUACGUAACUCAGUGCUAUCUAGAAGUAGUGAAGAAA